rnacentral:rRNA from 1 species
AACACAUGCAAGUCGAACGGAGUUAGCAAGAAGUUACUUUGAGCUAACUUAGUGGCGGACGGGUGAGUAACACGUGGGUAACCUGCCUUUCAGUGGGGAAUAACGGCUGGAAACGGUCGCCUAAUACCGCAUAAUGUCUUGGAGUCGCAUGACCCUGAGACCAAAGAUUUAUCGCUGAAAGAUGGACUCGCGCCCGAUUAGCUAGUUGGUGAGGUAAUGGCUCACCAAGGCGACGAUCGGUAGCCGGACUGAGAGGUUGAACGGCCACAUUGGGACUGAGACACGGCCCAGACUCCUACGGGAGGCAGCAGUGGGGGAUAUUGCACAAUGGGGGAAACCCUGAUGCAGCCGAUGCCGCGUGUAGGAAGACGGUCCUCUGGAUUGUAAACUACUGUCUUCAGGGACGAUAAUGACGGUACCUGAGGAGGAAGCUCCGGCUAACUACGUGCCAGCCGCUGC